UACGGAGGGUGCAAGCGUUGUUCGGAAUUACUGGGCGUAAAGAGCACGUAGGCGGGCUCGCAAGCCGAUUGUGAAAGCCCAGGGCUCAACCCUGGAAUUGCAGUCGGAACUGCGAAUCUUGAAUGCUAGAGAGGGUGGGGGAAUUCCUGGUGUAGAAGUGAAAUUCGUAGAUAUCAGGAGGAACACCGGAGGCGAAGGCGCCUAUCUGGCUGGACAUUGACGCUGAGGUGCGAAAGCGUGGGGAGCUAACAGG
rnacentral:rRNA from 1 species